UGCUACCAUGCAGUCGACGGAAGGCCCAGCUUGCUGGGUGCUCGAGUGGCGAACGGGUGAGUAACACGUGGGUGAUCUGCCCCUGACUUUGGGAUAAGCCUGGGAAACUGGGUCUAAUACCGGAUAUGACCUUUUGUUGCAUGGCUUUUGGUGGAAAGCCUUGUGCGGUUGGGGAUGGGCCCGCGGCCUAUCACCUUGUUGGUGGGGUAAGGGCCUACCAAGGCGACAACGGGUAGCCAACCUGAAAGGGUGAUCGGCCACACUGGGACUGAAACACGGCCCAAACUCCUACGGGAGGCAGCAGUGGGGAAUAUUGCACAAGGGGCGCAAGCCUGAUGCACCGACCCCCCGUGAGGGAUGACGGCCUUCGGGUUGUAAACCUCUUUCACCAGGGACAAACCGCUAGUGACGGUACCUGGAGAAAAAGCACCGGCCAACUACUUGCCACCAGCCGCGGUAAUACGUAGGGUGCGAGCGUUGUCCGGAAUUACUGGGCGUAAAGAGCUCGUAGGCGGUUUGUCGCGUCGUCUGUGAAAUUCUGCAGCUUAACUGCAGGCGUGCAGGCGAUACGGGCAGACUUGAGUACUACAGGGGAGACUGGAAUUCCUGGUGUAGCGGUGAAAUGCGCAGAUAUCAGGAGGAACACCGGUGGCGAAGGCGGGUCUCUGGGUAGUAACUGACGCUGAGGAGCGAAAGCGUGGGUAGCGAACAGGAUUAGAUACCCUGGUAGUCCACGCCGUAAACGGUGGGUACUAGGUGUGGGGCUCAUUU
rnacentral:rRNA from 1 species